GCGCGGCUGCGCCCGUGGCAUAUUUUUCGCACACAGAGGCCUUCCGCCAAGUAUGGUGCCAUUCCGAGUCCCGCGGACGAACUUCGCCCACGCCCCCCACCAAGGCUAUAGCCCACCCGUUUUUUGGCCAUUUUUCCGCUGGGGGGUCUUGGGACCCCGACCUUCGGAGGCUGAUUUUUGGGCGCGGCUGUGCCCGUGGCCUAUUUUUGGCACACGGAGGCCGCCCGCCAAGUCAGGGGCCAUUCCAAGUCCCGCGGACGAAGUUCGCCCACUACCCCCACCAAGGCUAUAGCCCACCCGUUUUUUGGCCAUUUUUUCGCUGGGGGGUCUUGGGACCCCGACCUUCGGGGGCUGAUUUUUGGGCGCGGCUGUGCCCGUGGCCUAUUUUUGGCACACAGAGGCCGCCCGCCAAGUAUGGUGCCAUUCCGAGUCCCGGGGACGAACUUCGCCCACGCCGCCCACCAAGGCUAUAGCCCACCCGUUUUUUGGCCAUUUUUCCGCUGGGGGGUCUUGGGACCCCGACCUUCGGGGGCUGAUUUUUGGGCGCGGCUGUGCCCGUGGCCUAUUUUUGGCACACGGAGGCCGCCCGCCAAGUCAGGGGCCAUUCCGAGUCCCGCGGACGAAGUUCGCCCACGCCCCCCACCAAGGCUAUAACCCACCCGUUUUUUGGCCAUUUUUCCACUGGGGGGUCUUGGGACCCCGACCUUCGGGGGCUGAUUUUUGGGCCCGGCUGUGCCCGUGGCCUAUUUUUGGGACACAGAGGCCGCCCGCCAAGUAUGGUGCCAUUCCGAGUCCCGCGGACGAACUUCGCCCACGCCGCCCACCAAGGCUAUAGCCCACCCGUUUUUUGGCCAUUUUUCCGCUGGGGGGUCUUGGGACCCCGACCUUCGGGGGCUGAUUUUUGGGCGCGGCUGUGCCCGUGGCCUAUUUUUGGCACACAGAGGCCGCCCGCCAAGUAUGGUGCCAUUCCGAGUCCCGCGGACGAACUUCGCCCACGCCCCCCACCAAGGCUAUAGCCCACCCGUUUUUUGGCCAUUUUUCCGCUGGGGGGUCUUGGGACCCCGACCUUCGGGGGCUGAUUUUUGGGCGCGGCUGUGCCCGUGGCCUAUUUUUGGCACACGGAGGCUGCCCGCCAAGUCAGGGGCCAUUCCGAGUCCCGCGGACGAAGUUCGCCCACGCCCCCCACCAAGGCUAUAGCCCACCCGUUUUUUGGCCAUUUUUCCACUGGGGGGUCUUGGGACCCCGACCUUCGGGGGCUGAUUUUUGUGCGCGGCUGUACCCGUGGCCUAUUUUUGGCACACAGAGGCCGCCCGCCAAGUAUGGUGCCAUUCCGAGUCCCGCGGAGGAACUUCGCCCACGCCCCCCACCAAGGCUAUAGCCCACCCGUUUUUUGGCCAUUUUUCCGCUGGGGGGUCUUGGGACCCCGACCUUCGGGGGCUGAUUUUUGGGCGCGGCUGUGCCCGUGGCCUAUUUUUGGCACACAGAGGCCGCCCGCCAAGUAUGGUGCCAUUCCGAGUCCCGCGGACGAACUUCGCCCACGCCCCCCACCAAGGCUAUAGCCCACCCGUUUUUUGGCCAUUUUUCCGCUGGGGGGUCUUGGGACCCCGACCUUCGGGGGCUGAUUUUUGGGCGCGGCUGUGUCCGUGGCCUAUUUUUGGCACACGGAGGCCGCCCGCCAAGUCAGGGGCCAUUCCGAGUCCCGCGGACGAAGUUCGCCCACGCCCCCCACCAAGGCUAUAGCCCACCCGUUUUUUGGCCAUUUUUCCACUGGGGGGUCUUGGGACCCCGACCUUCGGGGGCUGAUUUUUGGGCGCGGCUGUGCCCGUGGCCUAUUUUUGGCACACAGAGGCCGCCCGCCAAGUAUGGUGCCAUUCCGAGUCCCGCGGACGAAUUUCGCCCACGCCGCCCACCAAGGCUAUAGCCCACCCGUUUUUUGGCCAUUUUUCCGCUGGGGGGUCUUGGGACCCCGACCUUCGGGGGCUGAUUUUUGGGCGCGGCUGUGCCCGUGGCCUAUUUUUGGCACACGGAGGCCGCCCGCCAAGUCAGGGGCCAUUCCGAGUCCCGCGGACGAAGUUCGCCCACGCCCCCCACCAAGGCUAUAGCCCACCCGUUUUUUGGCCAUUUUUCCGCUGGGGGGUCUUGGGACCCCGACGUUCGGGGGCUGAUUUUUGGGCGCGGCUGUGCCCGUGCCCUAUUUUUGGCACACAGAGGCCGCCCGCCAAGUAUGGUGCCAUUCCGAGUCCCGCGGACGAACUUCGCCCACGACGCCCACCAAGGCUAUAGCCCACCCGUUUUUUGGCCAUUUUUCCGCUGGGGGGUCUUGGGACCCCGACCUUCGGGGGCUGAUUUUUGGGCGCGGCUGUGCCCGUGGCAUAUGUUUGGCACACGGAGGCCGCCCGCCAAGUCAGGGGCCAUUCCGAGUCCCGCGGACGAAGUUCGCCCACGCCCCCCACCAAGGCUAUAGCCCACCCGUUUUUUGGCUAUUUUUCCACUGGGGGGUCUUGGGACCCCGACCUUCGGUGGCUGAUUUGUGGCCGCGGCUGUGCCCGUGGCCUAUUUUUGGCACACGGAGGCCGCCCGCCAAGUCAGGGGCCAUUCCGAGUCCCGCGGACGAAGUUCGCCCACGCCCCCCACCAAGGCUAUAGCCCACCCGUUUUUUGGCCAUUUUUCCACUGGGGGGUCUUGGGACCCCGACCUUCGGCGGCUGAUUUUUGUGCGCGGCUGUGCCCGUGGCCUAUUUUUGGCACACAGAGGCCGCCCGCCAAGUAUGGUGCCAUUCCGAGUCCCGCGGACGAAGUUCGCCCACGCCCCCCACCAAGGCUAUAGCCCACCCGUUUUUUGGCCAUUUAUCCGCUGGGGGGUCUUGGGACCCGGACCUUCGGGGGCUGAUUUUUGGGCGCGGCUGUGCCCGUGGCCUAUGUUUGGCACACGGAGGCCGCCCGCCAAGUCAGGGGCCAUUCCGAGUCCCGCGGACGAAGUUCGACCACGCCGCCCACCAAGGCUAUAGCCCACCCGUUUUUUGGCCACUUUUCCGCUGGGGGGUCUUGGGACCCCGACCUUCGGGGGCUGAUUUUUGGGCGCGGCUGUGCCCGUGGCCUAUUUUUGGCACACGGAGGCCGCCCGCCAAGUCAGGUGCCAUUCCGAGUCCCGCGGACGAAGUUCGCCCACGCCCCCCACCAAGGCUAUAGCCCACCCGUUUUUUGGCCAUUUUUCCACAGGGGGGUCUUGGGACCCCGACCUUCGGGGGCUGAUUUUUGGGCGCGGCUGUGCCCGUGGCCUAUUUUUGGCACACAGAGGCCGCCCGCCAAGUAUGGUGCCAUUCCGAGUCCCGCGGACGAACUUCGCCCACGCCCCCCACCAAGGGAAUAGCCCACCCGUUUUUUGGCCAUUUUUCCGCUGGGGGGUCUUGGGACCCCGACCUUCGGGGGCUGAUUUUUGGGCGCGGCUGUGCCCGUGGCCUAUUUUUGGUACACAGAGGCCGCCCGCCAAGCAUGGUGCCAUUCCGAGUGCCGCGAACGAACUUCGCCCACGCCCCCCACCAAGGCUAUAGCCCACCCGUUUUUUGGCCAUUUAUCCGCUGGGGGGUCUUGGGACCC
rnacentral:lncRNA from 1 species